rnacentral:rRNA from 1 species
CCUACGGGGGGCAGCAGUGAGGAAUAUUGGUCAAUGGACGAAAGUCUGAACCAGCCAUGCCGCGUGAAGGAAGACGGCUCUAUGAGUUGUAAACUGCUUUUGUACGAGGGUAAACGCCGAUACGCGUAUCUGUCUGAAAGUAUCGUACGAAUAAGGAACGGCUAACUCCGUGCCAGCAGCCGCGGUAAUACGGAGGAUUCAAGCUUUAACCGGAUUUAUUGGGUUUAAAGGGUGCGUAGGCGGUCCGGAAAGGCCGCGGUAAAAGCCCGGGGCUCAACCCCGGCGAGCCGUUGAAACUGUCGGACUAGAGACGGCGAGAAGUACGCGGAAUGCGCGGUGUAGCGGUGAAAUGCAUAGAUAUCACGCAGAACUCCGAUUGCGAAGGCAGCAUACCGGCGCUCAACUGACGCUCAUGCACGAAAGCGUGGGUAUCGAACAGGAUUAGAUACCCUUGUAGUC